GAAACCGGUGCUGGAACAGUAUCCAGAGGAAAACUGUUUUGACCUUCGGUUGCUGGGAAACAGGCUCUGGACUGUGGCUAAUUUGGGGGCAAUCGACAGUGAACACAGGCAAUUAAAAAGAGACAUGGAGGGUUGAGAGAAAGUUUGGACACAGUAUCUUUUAGAGGGCCUUUCUGUCUUUCUUAAAACUUCUAUUAUAAUUUUUUUCUUUUCUUUUGCUUCUUUUUUUUUUUUUUUUUUUUUUGAGACAGGGUCUCACUCUGUCGCCCAGGUUGGAGUGCAGUGGCGUGAUCUCAGCUCACUAUAGCCUACGCCUCUUGGGUUCAGGCAACUCUCUUGCUCAUCCACCCAAGUAGCUGGGAUUACAGGCAUGCACCACUAUGCCUGGCUAAUUUUUGUAUUUUUAGUACAGAUGGGGUUUCACCAUGUUUUCCAGGCUGGUGUCGAACUCCUGAGCUUAAGCGAUCUGCCCGCCUUGGCCUCCCAAAGUGCUGGGAUUACAGGCAUGAGCCACCGUUCCUGGACCCAUUGAUGAUGUUUUGAAGUUACACAAGACAGACAUGUUCAUUGCAGAAAAAGGAGGACUGUUUUAUACCAAAUUUUCAUUUCCACACAGGGUUUUCAAUAGUGGGUGAAGGUUGAGUAAUUUUUUGGGGGGUGCAAGUUGAAGCAGGCUAUUACACCAGAGUUUUCUCUGUGGAUAAAAGGGGGGAAGCCUCAAUCUGAAUCCAGAAUUUGAGCUUGUCCACUAGGCAAUUUUUUUUUUUUUAAUUUAAACCAGUGCCAUGUUAGGCAAGGUAAAAGAGUAUUAACUCAGUACUGCCCUUGAGGGGACCACUGUCUAGAGACAUAGGCUAAGGAUGCCUGGAAAAUGAAAUCACAGCUGUGCUUCUUGCAAAUUACUCUCUUGAGUACGUAAUUCUGUCUCCUCAUCUAACUGGGGCAGCUUCCAAGGCAGAAGAGACAAGGCCUCUCCAAUGGAAUGAGUAUUUCCUCCAGGUCUCCUCCAUCUCCACAACUCAGGUCAGGGUUUCAGGACUAAGCAGGUGUUUGGGCUGUGCUCAGGGCCAAUAAGUAGUCUCAGCUGAACACUUGCCAAGAAGCCAGGUCAGUUCUAACACCCCUCUGCAGGAAUGACCAGUUCAAUGAAAAAAAUCAAGCAUGCUGCAAUCCAUCUAAUCACAACCAGGCUUCGUCUCCACCCUGACUCCCCCAUGCUUGGCCCUUCCCAACCCAAGUGCUAAUUGGGAACCACUGCACACAACUGCUAACCACACAUGGGUGGGAAGGUGCUGAGAGCAACAGAGGGCUGGACUGUGCAUCGUGGUGGGGGUUGAGCGCCAGAAGCCACUGCAACAGCACUUUCCUCUGUGGAUCCUGUACAGGGUUCAUGUGGCCUUGGCAAGCAGCCAUUAGAUCUGGGCAAGUUGCCCACCACGUCGGCCCUUCCCCCAUAGCACAUCUCUCCUGGGUCCCAGCACUGGUCACUUUUUCCUUUUCUUAAUGAACGGCUUGGAGUGGGUGGGAAAGGGAAGAUAAUGAGUAAAGUAAGGAAGUGAUUUUCGUAGGCCUGUGUCUUUGUCUUUCUCCCCAAACUUACAGCCUCCCGCCCUGACAUGGACAGGCUCAGGCAGGCCUGGGAGACCUGAACUCCCUCUCCAGAUAACUGGGAGCCUGGAGAGCAAAUUCGGGGCUGGGACUCAGGAUGGUGACACUGGCCACAGCCACAGAGUCAGGAGCCAAAGGAGAUCCAGAAGAUAGGGUCCCAGCAAGGUGGCAAUUAAGCCAACAGGCAGUCACUACUGGGGAGCAACCCAACAGGGCUCAGCACAAAGGCCAAAGCAGAAUGGGGCCAUGGAGAUGGGAUUCACUGACACCUGGGAAGCAAAUGAGGGGGUUCAGCAGUGGGAGAAGGAGGUGGUGGCUGGGACAUGUGAUGGGGAAGAUUCUGCUGCCUCCCCUGCGGCUUAGAAGGAAACUGUUAAGGAGAUGGUUUUGGGUCAGACUUCAGAGACCAGUGACCUCUGCCCUUUUUGCUCAAACUUCUAGAAGAUUCUCUGAGUCCCAGUCUAUCAUCACUUCCUGGAGAAGGCAAGUGACUGGCAAACAUAGAUCACUUUCACAGAUAUUAUCCCAUCCGAACCUCACAGAGAUCUGUGAUGUAAGCAAGGCUGGAAUAAUUACUCCCAUUUGACGAGUCAACUAAACCCUACAAAGGUUAACUGGAUCAAGAUCAAAUUACAAAAUGGUGUUGGAACUUAGGUUUUUUGAUUCCUGACUCAAUCUACUCACCACUCUACCACCUGGCCUCUUUUCUGUGCCUAUCCAUGAAAAUAACCACCUUUGCCUCUCCUAAUACCACCCACUGCCUAUGCAAAAUUAAAGUACUUAACAAGCCCA